AUGUCUGGUGAAGAUCUGAGUUUUUUCUUUGAUGUCUUUUCGGUUGCUGUUAGAAUUUGGCUUCACUAUGCCACCCUUCUCUGCACCAACUUAAAUCCUGGGCUGCCGGCUCCUGCUCUGAAUUGUAAAACUGGCUUGAUUUUUAAACAUACCAUGCUCUCCAAAAGAAACGAAGCGGUUGUGUAUCUGAACGGUUCUCAUUUUCAAGUGAAUUUGUUUCACUCCGAAGACCCAUUUCAUAUUCUUUUCUCCCAGUUACAUUGUCCUGUGCAUGGUUAUCCAUCACUGUCUCGGGUCACAAUCUCAACUUUUCCGAGUUAUAUUUCUGCAGAACCUUCUAAACACGCGUCUCGAUCUCCUCUGCCCUCCGUGCUCAGCUGUUCUCUCUGA
rnacentral:rRNA from 1 species